rnacentral:rRNA from 1 species
AGUCAACGCUGGCGGCGUGCCUAACACAUGCAAGUCGAACGAGAAAGUGGAGCAAUCCAUGAGUAAAGUGGCGCACGGGUGAGUAACACGUGACUAACCUACCCUUGAGUGGGGGAUAACCUAGGGAAACCUGGGCUAAUACCGCAUAAUACCUACGGGUCAAAGGAGCAAUUCGCUUUAGGAGGGGGUCGCGGCAGAUUAGUUAGUUGGCGGGGUAAUGGCCCACCAAGACGAUGAUCNGUAUCCGGCCUGAGAGGGCGCACGGACACACUGGAACUGAAACACGGUCCAGACUCCUACGGGAGGCAGCAGUGGGGAAUUUUGCGCAAUGGGGGAAACCCUGACGCAGCAACGCCGCGUGGAGGAUGAAGACCCUUGGGUCGUAAACUCCUUUCGAUCGGGACGAUAAUGACGGUACCGGAAGAAGAAGCCCCGGCUAACUUCGUGCCAG